rnacentral:rRNA from 1 species
UGGGGAAUUUUGGACAAUGGGCGAAAGCCUGAUCCAGCAAUGCCGCGUGUGUGAAGAAGGCCUUCGGGUUGUAAAGCACUUUUGUCCGGAAAGAAAUCCUUGGCUCUAAUACAGUCGGGGGAUGACGGUACCGGAAGAAUAAGCACCGGCUAACUACGUGCCAGCAGCCGCGGUAAUUACGUAGGGUGCAAGCGUUAAUCGGAAUUACUGGGCGUAAAGCGUGCGCAGGCGGUUUGCUAAGACCGAUGUGAAAUCCCCGGGCUCAACCUGGGAACUGCAUUGGUGACUGGCAGGCUAGAGUAUGGCAGAGGGGGGUAGAAUUCCACGUGUAGCAGUGAAAUGCGUAGAGAUGUGGAGGAAUACCGAUGGCGAAGGCAGCCCCCUGGGCCAAUACUGACGCUCAUGCACGAAAGGCGU